rnacentral:rRNA from 1 species
GAAAUGCGAUAAGUAAUGUGAAUUGCAGAAUUCAGUGAAUCAUCGAAUCUUUGAACGCACCUUGCGCUCCUUGGUAUUCCGAGGAGCAUGCCUGUUUGAGUAUCGUGGAAUUCUCAACCUAUUCAUUCUUUUGGUGAAUGGGCUUGGACUUUGGAGGCAUGCUGGUGGACAUCACCACCAGCUCCUCUUGAAUGCAUUAGCUUGGGACCUAUGUGGAUCAGCUAUCGGUGUGAUAAAUGUCUGCACCCCCGCUGAGAAACCUUAACCCUGUGUUUGGGUCACCAGCUUCUAAUCGUCCUUACUGCUAGGACAGAUAUAAUUCCUUGACCUCUGAUCUCAAAUCAGGUAGGACUACCCGCUGAACUUAA